rnacentral:rRNA from 2 species
CGCGAAGAACCUUACCUGGUCUUGACAUCCACAGAAGAAUCCAGAGAUGGAUUUGUGCCUUCGGGAACUGUGAGACAGGUGCUGCAUGGCUGUCGUCAGCUCGUGUUGUGAAAUGUUGGGUUAAGUCCCGCAACGAGCGCAACCCUUAUCCUUUGUUGCCAGCGAUUAGGUCGGGAACUCAAAGGAGACUGCCAGUGAUAAACUGGAGGAAGGUGGGGAUGACGUCAAGUCAUCAUGGCCCUUACGACCAGGGCUACACACGUGCUACAAUGGCGCAUACAAAGAGAAGCGACCUCGCGAGAGCAAGCGGACCUCAUAAAGUGCGUCGUAGUCCGGAUUGGAGUCUGCAACUCGACUCCAUGAAGUCGGAAUCGCUAGUAAUCGUGGAUCAGAAUGCCACGGUGAAUACGUUCCCGGGCCUUGUACACACCGCCCGUCACACCAUGGGAGUGGGUUGCAAAAGAAGUAGGUAGCUUAACCUUCGGGAGGGCGCUUACCACUUUGUGAUUCAUGACUGGGGUGAAGUCGUAACAAGGUAACCGUAGGGGAACCUGCGGUUGGAUCACCUCCUUA